rnacentral:lncRNA from 1 species
AUGGUGUCCUUAUCUCCAGUCUGGGCAGUGAGUGAUCUGGCUCUAAACCUCAUCUUAUCAUUUGUGCUUUCAGACUUCUCCUGGUACAGACCAGGUUCUCCAGAAGAGAUGCUGGACAGAGUUUGGGUUGCAAGGUGCUGCCAAGUCUGAGCUGGGUCAAGAUUGAAUUGGAGGAGAGGCCAACAGAAAUUGCUGGGUACCAUGUGGAAAUGGAAAAUAAGCAUUCUCUUUCCACUUCUCUUCUUUCGGAGUCAUCCCUCUGCUGUCUUUUUUUCCACGUAGUGGCUGGAGUGACCCAUCACAAACUAUAAGUCAGAUCAUGAUACUGCCCCCUGAAAACCUUCUGAUGGCUUCCCACAACUCUUAGAAGACAACUCAAAGUCCCUCCUGUGGCCUCCAAGCCUUUACAUGCUUUGACUCCAGGAUGCCUCCUGACCUCCCAUCACUGUCUCCCUUAGUCACCUCCCUCUAACCACAGUGGCCU